rnacentral:rRNA from 1 species
CCUACGGGUGGCAGCAGUGAGGAAUAUUGGUCAAUGGACGCAAGUCUGAACCAGCCAUGCCGCGUGCAGGAUGACGGCUCUAUGAGUUGUAAACUGCUUUUGUACGAGGGUAAACCCCGAUACGUGUAUCUGGUUGAAAGUAUCGUACGAAUAAGGAUCGGCUAACUCCGUGCCAGCAGCCGCGGUAAUACGGAGGGUCCGAGCGUUAUCCGGAUUUAUUGGGUUUAAGGGGUGCGUAGGCGGUUUGAUAAGUUAGAGGUGAAAUGUCGGGGCUCAACCCCGAAACUGCCUCUAAUACUGUUAGACUAGAGAAUAGUAGCGGUAGGCAGAAUGUAUGGUGUAGCGGUGAAAUGCUUAGAGAUCAUACAGAACACCGAUUGCGAAGGCAGCUUACCAAACUAUAUCUGACGUUGAGGCACGAAAGCGUGGGUAGCAAACAGGAUUAGAUACCCUUGUAGUC